GCAACUCGCCUGCAUGAAGUCGGAAUUGCUAGUAAUCGCGGAUCAGCAUGCCGCGGUGAAUACGUUCCCGGGCCUUGUACACACCGCCCGUCACACCAUGGGAGUCGGUAACACCCGAAGCCUGUAGUCUAACCGCAAGGGGGACGCAGUCGAAGGUGGGAUUGAUGACUGGGGUGAAGUCGUAACAAGGUAGC
rnacentral:rRNA from 1 species